rnacentral:lncRNA from 1 species
GGAAGCCAGACGAGAAGCCUUUGGAAAGGAACAUUCUCGAAAGGAACUUAGAAUCUAGUCGAGAAGGUAACAGCCCAACACGUGCACAUCACUCAACAGAUAGGACCAAGCUACAGCCCAGGGGGAGGUGGCUUCAGGCUACUGGAGCCUGCUUGGCCUGUGGUCUGCAAAGAUGAGAAGUGCCUGGGAGUUUAUAGCAUCUGGGAGGCAGCUUCUGACUAGUGAUGAAGAAUGCAGGAGGAAUUGCUUUUGCUGCUGGAAGGAAGCACCAGCUGUCUCCGAUCCUGCCCCCUUGUGGUGAAGUGGAAUGAUAACCAGUUCUUUAGGGAAAGUUGGUUAUUUAUAAGGGGGAGAGGGAUCUCUCUCUCUCUGCUCUGUGCACGCAGAGGAAAGGCCAUGUGAGGGCUCAGCGAGAAGGCAGCUGCCUGCCAGCCAGGAAGAGAGAACUCUCCACAAACGGACCAUGCUGGCACCCUGGUCUUGGACUUCCAGCCUCCAGAACUCUUGGUUAUGGAUUAUUUUCGUCGACGCCACUUACGUGAUGAGAUGAGGUCUUCUGGAAAGUCUUCCUCACUUAAAAUGUUCCAGGCCUGUGCCUGUACUUUCAAGGCAUACCACCAGUUUAGCUACAAUUCUGCAUAUUGGAUGUUUUUGGUUUUCAUCUCCCUCCUCGCCAAGAUGCUCCAUCCGCAUGAGCACUGCUGUCAGGCAGGGAUAAAAGCGACCAUCAGAGACCAGCUGAAAGGAAGAGGCCACGGCGGAACCUCCCUAGCGUGUCACGUCC